rnacentral:rRNA from 1 species
UACGUAGGGUGCAAGCGUUGUCCGGAAUUAUUGGGCGUAAAGAGCUCGUAGGCGGUUUGUUGCGUCGGCUGUGAAAUCCCGAGGCUCAACCUCGGGUCUGCAGUCGAUACGAGCAAACUAGAGUGUUGCAGGGGAGACUGGAAUUCCUGGUGUAGCGGUGAAAUGCGCAGAUAUCAGGAGGAACACCGGUGGCGAAGGCGGGUCUCUGGGCCGAUGACUGACGCUGGAGGAGCGAAAGCGUGGGGAGCGAACAGG